rnacentral:rRNA from 1 species
UGCAUAUCCAAUAAGCGGAGGAAAAGAAACUAACAAGGAUUCCCUUAGUAACGGCGAGUGAACCGGGAAGAGCUCAAAUUUGAAAUCUGGCUGUCUUCGAUAGUCCGAGUUGUAAUCUAUAGAAGCGUUUUCCGUGCUGAACUGUGUCUAAGUCCCUUGGAACAGGGUAUCAAAGAGGGUGACAAUCCCGUACUUGACACAAUCAUCAGUGCUCUGUGAUACGCUCUCUACGAGUCGAGUUGUUUGGGAAUGCAGCUCAAAAUGGGUGGUAAAUUCCAUCUAAAGCUAAAUAUUGGCGAGAGACCGAUAGCGAACAAGUACCGUGAGGGAAAGAUGAAAAGCACUUUGGAAAGAGAGUUAAACAGUACGUGAAAUUGUUGAAAGGGAAACGAUUGAAGUCAGUCGUGUUCAUUGGAUUCAGCCGGUCUUCGGUGUACUUCCUUUGAACGGGUCAACAUCAGUUUUGCCCGGUGGAUAAAGGCAGUAGGAAUGUGGCCUCUCCGGAGGUGUUAUAGCCUAUUGUCACAUACACUGGGGGAGACUGAGGACUGCAGCUCGCCUUUUGGCCGGGGUUCGCCCACGUUCGAGCUUAGGAUGUUGACAUAAUGGCUUUAAACGACCCGUCUUGAAACACCGACCAA